UCAUGAUGAAACACCCAGCUGGCACCAGUCAUAGAGUGACUUGUACUCCCUUCUUUGAUGACCAAUAUGCUGUGGCUUUAAGCCCAUACUGAU
rnacentral:snoRNA from 1 species